rnacentral:rRNA from 1 species
UGAAAGACGUAGUAACUUGCGAUAAGCCCAGAUUAGGUAGUAACAGCCAUUUGAGUCUGGGAUUUCUGAAUGGGGAAACCCACUUACAUAAGUAAGUAUCCUUACCUGAAUACAUAGGGUAAGGAGGCGAACCGGGGGAACUGAAACAUCUAAGUACCCCGAGGAAAAGAAAUCAACCGAGAUUCCGAAAGUAGCGGCGAGCGAAAUUGGACUAGCCCUUAAGCUUUACACGCGUUAGACGAACGGUCUGGAAAGUCCGACGAUACAGGGUGAUAGUCCCGUAGUUGACGACGUGUGUUCAGUGAAAUCGAGUAGGGCGGGACACGUGAUAUCCUGUCUGAAUAUGGGGGGACCAUCCUC